rnacentral:rRNA from 1 species
AUGUGCUACCAGGCGUCGGAGCUCACAAUGACCAGCGUGGGCUAUGCCGUGGCCAACAUCGACCUGAUGCUGGACGGAGGCCAGAACUGGACACUGCCUGGCGCCAGCUCGCUCGUGCAGGUGAACGACCAGACGGUGUGCUUCGCGUUCGUUCAGACGGAUUCGUCGGUGCCGGCACAUGCUGAGUCGCCGGCGGUGAUCCUCGGGGGGCACCAGUUGGAGAACAACCUGCUAAUAUUCGAUCUGGAGAAGGACACGUUCGGGUUCAGUGGGCUGCUCCUCGGCGUCGGCACUACCUGCAGCAACUUCGACUUCAGCAUGGGGAGUUCUUAG